UACGUAGGGGGCAAGCGUUGUCCGGAAUCAUUGGGCGUAAAGAGCGUGUAGGCGGCUCGGUAAGUCCGCUGUGAAAGUCCAGGGCUCAACCCUGGAAUGCCGGUGGAAACUGUCGGGCUAGAGUCCGGAAGAGGCGAGUGGAAUUCCUGGUGUAGCGGUGAAAUGCGCAGAUAUCAGGAGGAACACCAAUGGCGAAGGCAGCUCGCUGGGACGGUACUGACGCUGAGACGCGAAAGCGUGGGGAGCAAGCAG
rnacentral:rRNA from 1 species